UCCGUAGGUGAACCUGCGGAAGGAUCAUUCACAAACGAGUGUUUUAUGGCACUCUUUAAAAAUCCAUAUCCACCUUGUGUGCAAUGUUUGUUGGGAAAGUCUUUUCUUUCCCUUCAUAAAUAUCAACCUAUAUCUUUAACAACAUUCGUCUGAUAACAUAUUAUGAAUAUACUUAAUUCAAAAUAUAACUUUCAACAACGGAUCUCUUGGCUCUCGCAUCGAUGAAGAACGCAGCGAAAUGCGAUACGUAAUGUGAAUUGCAGAAUUCAGUGAAUCAUCGAAUCUUUGAACGCAUAUUGCGCUCUUUGGUAUUCCGAAGAGCAUGCUUGUUUGAGUAUCAGUAAACACCUCAACCUCUCUUUUUUGAUAAAAAAAAGGGAGGGUGGACUUGAGCUAUCCCAACGACCUUCACCGGUAGGCGGGCGGCUUGAAAUGCAGGUGCAGCUGGACUUUUAUCUGAGCUAAAAGCAUAUCUAUUUAGUCCUCGUCAAACAGGAUUAUUACUUUUGCUGCAGCUAACAUAAAGGAUAAUUGUCCUCUUUGCUGACUGAUGCAGGAUUUUACGACACUUUAUGUGUUGUUCAACUCGAUCUCAAAUCAAGUAAGACUACCCGCUGAACUUAAGCAUAUCAAUAAGCGGAGGA
rnacentral:rRNA from 1 species